GCUGGUGUGGCUCAGGGGUAGAGCAACGGUUUCGUAAACCGUCGGUCAGCGGUUCAAAUCCGCUCACCAGCU
rnacentral:tRNA from 1 species